UGAAGGGCAGCUGUCGCUACGAGA
rnacentral:piRNA from 1 species